CCUCUACCCCGAGCUGCGGAGCGGGGCGCAGCUCUGACGUCAACACUGCCGCGGCCCCUGCCUGCCUCAGGCGCCUCACAUCUGUCCCUUGAGCGGCAGGAAUCCGUCCCCACGCCCUUCUCCUUUAAAGGACAACAGGCAGAGGGUGGGGCGGGCGGCGAGGCCCCAGCGAUCCAUUCAGGUCAAAAAGGAGAGUGAUCAAACAGGACGCUGAGAUAAAUUGGGUCAUGCAGGCUUGGACAAGGAAGAUUCCAUCUGAUUUCACACAUCCUUGAAAUACAGCGUCCUUGCACCAUCUGAGGUGGUCCAGGAAGGCCUGAGUGAGGAGGUGGCCUGUGAGCUGAAACCUGAAACAGGAGACUGAGUCAGCUAUGAGAAGAGUCACUGUGGAAAGAACAUUCCAGAAGGACAGAGUCAUGAAAGUAAAGCCCCCGAGAUAUGGUGUCAGAAGUGGGAUCUGAAGUAGUGCUUGCAGUGGUCCCCAGGAGCAUCAAGUGACCAAGCCAGGUAUUAACUCAGAUGAAUCAUAGACCUACGUAUAAAUGUGAAUCUGCAGCACUCCUAGAAGAUAAUGGAGAGAAAAAUCUAGACAACCUUGGGGCUGGCAGUGACUUUAGAAAAUACAUCAAAAACAUGAUCCAUGAAAGAUAAAAUUAAGAAGUUGGGCAUCAUUAAAAUUUUGUUCUGUAAAAUAUAUUGUUAAGAGAAAGAAAAGAUAA